ensembl:ncRNA H24G06.3 ncRNA
UUUAUGCAAAUUAACACUUUGGUUGAGAAGAGAGUAUUAUAAUCAGAGAGAACGCAGAGAAAUUGAUCUAUUUGUCUAAAUGCUCGAGAAACGGACUUGCCGCCGCUUCUUUCCGGCAAUGGUUUUGUUUUUGCU